ensembl:lncRNA LINC02389 long intergenic non-protein coding RNA 2389
GACUAUUUCCAGAAAAAUACUUGUAAGAAUUAUUGGUCUCUGUUUUUUUCUAUUUGAUCUCAUGGAAACCUCUCUCUCCGUUGGGAACUUCUCCGUUGAUUAAAACCCCUCUUCUCAAACCCCUGCUGACUAUAUGAUCUGCCAACUUUGUCUACCUCUUUCUUGUUGUCAUGAUCUUUGGUAUGCCCCAAAACUCUUUCUUGGAAAACAACAACAACAACAACAACAACAAGACAACUGAUUGCUUUGUCAUUCAAUCUUGAAAACAAACAAACAAACAAGAAAAUAACAAAGCAGUCUCUAACAAUAAGGCAAGAUUAGAAGUAUCCAUUUGAGUCCAGGCAUACAAAAUGCUUGUCCCUAGACUUCCAUGGGCUCCACCCACUCAAUAUUCUAGCAAAAAGACACAAACUUUGUUUUUGGGAAAGAAUGGAUAGGCCCUUGGAAGAAUAGAUGGUGGUUUGUGACAAAGUCAGUCUAUGAUGGACUUCUGGCCUCCUCUCCUGUGAUUUUGGGAAUUUCUACAUGGACCCUUUGGAAGUUUCCAUCUGGAAACUUCUCCUUGUAGAGAGAGAGAUAUUAAACUAAUUGGGCUUAUUUUAUGUAUUAAAUUAUAUGGGAAGCAUUGUCAAAUAAUGCUAAACCUCCAUUGAGUUAUAUUUGUAUGAUUAUUUUAUUAAUAUGUGCUUCAGAAAUUCUAUGAAAUUCAUAGAAAUCUAAUAGUCCUGGUGUAACACUAUCAGUCUUAAUUCUAGUUGUUAUCUUAAAAUGUUGUAUGCAGCAAUAACCAAAUUUCCUUGUCAAUUGCAUAAUCAUUGUAAUUAACUCUCAUUAGAUCUUUAAAAAUGGCCACUUAAAUUAUGUGUUUUUGUCAUUCACAGAAGGAAAAUUGUUUACUCUGGUAUCUUCCUAAGAAACUGUACACUUAAAUUGUUUUGUCUUCAAGGAGAUUCAUAGAAAGGACUCUAACAAGUUUCUGAUAACUUUAAGAUUAUACCAUUAAACUAGGUAAAGGAAGAUUUUCAUGAUUCACUGACUGAGGACAAUCAAAUUCUUCACCACGUAGAACCUAGACAUUGGGUCUUUGGAAAGGACAUCAGAGAAAGACUGCCAUUAAGCUCCAUUGGAAGAGACCAUAUCAAGUUCUUUUCUGCAGCAAACCAUCAGGCUCUCAAGUCUUGGAUCUAUGUCUCUCAACUCAAAAGAGCUCCUCCAGACUCCUGGAACUGUAUACCUAUUGGAGACUCUAAGGUAAAGCUCACCAGGGAAGAUUUCCCCCAGGAGCAGUUGGCAUCCUAGACUUCAACAGCUUUCGUAAGAUUGUGGAUCAAGACUUCUCUGCCAUCAUGAAAGUCUUAUCUUUUCCCUUUCUUCCCAAUUUCCUGCUGUCCCAGUCCCUUUCUUUUACUUAUAGGAAAAUCCAUGGGGCCAUAAUCUGUGGAUGGCUUUAGCUAAGUCUUAUGCUGUAGUGAAAAAACAGAGCAAUUGUUGGGUUUAUGAAGAUAAGCUAGUUUCUACUGAGGAAAGAUUCCAGUGGCAUUCCUGGGGGCUCAGUCUUGGUACUAGCAGGGUACUGGUAGUAUGGAAUUUGAAAGUAAUCCAUAAAAUGAGAAAAAUCUUGGGUUUGACCAACCAGUCCCCACAGAGGUUCAGGUGAGUAGAAGUCAUCUUUUGAAAACACUUAAUAAAACAUCAUGCAGUUUUGGAUCCUGUUUCCUUAGACACUGCCACCAAAUACAUAAAGGAAAUUUCUCAGAGGAAAGAAACAUAUGACAUGUUCAUAGGAGCAGCAAACCAUUGGUUUGCAGGUAGGCUUGGCUUUUCCAAGGUGUUCUAACCUUUAUGCUCUUCUAAUGGUUCUCCAGAUUACUAUGACUUGUGUUAACAAGAUAAUGACAACAUUGGAUACCUCUUUAAAUCAGCAAACUGCAGUUCUUAAUCAUUAUCACCUCCUGAACAAAAACCAUGACCAACGGUACUCAAAUGCUUUUGAGCUGCCUGUAAGGGAGGAGACCACCCCUCAUAUUGUCUUAUGCCCAAUUUCUGCCUCCAAAUAAAGAAGAAGUAAAAACUAAAAGGCAGAAACGAAAUCCACAAGCAGACAGCCCGGUGCCACACCCUGGGCCUGGUAGUUAAAGAUCGAUGCCUGACCUAAUCAGUUAUGUUAUCUAUAGAUUACAGAUAUCGUAUAGGAAAGCACUGUGAAAAUCCCUGUCCUGUUUUGUUCCGAUCUAAUUACCAGUGCAUGCAACCCCCAGUCAUGUACCCCUGGCUUGCUCAAUCGAUCACAACCCUCUCAAGUGGACCCCCUUAGAGUUGUGAGCCCUUAAAAGGGGCAGGAAUUGCUCACUCAGGGAGCUCAGCUCUUGAGACAGGAGUCUUGCCAAUGCUCCCGGCCGAAUA